rnacentral:rRNA from 1 species
ACUCCUACGGGAGGCAGCAGUAGGGAAUCUUCGGCAAUGGGGGCAACCCUGACCGAGCAACGCCGCGUGAGUGGAGAAGGUUUUCGGAUCGUAAAACUCUGUUGUUAGAGAAGAACGUUAAGUAGAGUGGAAAAUUACUUAAGUGACGGUAUCUAACCAGAAAGGGACGGCUAACUACGUGCCAGCAGCCGCGGUAAU